rnacentral:rRNA from 1 species
GACGAACGCUGGCGGCGUGCUUAACACAUGCAAGUCGAACGGAAAGGCCCUGCUUUUGUGGGGUGCUCGAGUGGCGAACGGGUGAGUAACACGGGAGUAACCUGCCCUUGACUUUGGGAUAACUUCAGGAAACUGGGGCUAAUACCGGAUAGGAGCUCCUGCUGCAUGGUGGGGUUUGGAAAGUUUCGGCGGUUGGGGAUGGACUCGCGGCUUAUCAGCUUGUUGGUGGGGGAGUGGCUUACCAAGGCAUUGACGGGUGGCCGGCCUGAGAGGUGGACCGGCCACAUUGGGACUGCGAGACGGCGCAGACUGCUACGGGAGGCAGCAGGGGGGAAUAUUGCACAACGGGCGGAAGCCUGAGGCAGAAACGCCGCGUGCGGGAUGACGGCCUUCGGGUUGUAAACCGCUUUCGCCUGUGACGAAGCGUGAGUGACGGUAAUGGGUAAAGAAGCACCGGCUAACUACGUG